GUGGGUGUGGUGUAUGGUACACGGCCGCCCACCAUUGAUUGGAACUUUGCAAGCUUGUAGGCAGCAGAACCGGGUUCGAUUCCUGGCACCCACA